rnacentral:rRNA from 1 species
UACGGGGGGGGCAAGCGUUGUUCGGAAUUACUGGGCGUAAAGGGCUCGUAGGUGGCCAACUAAGUCAGACGUGAAAUCCCUCAGCUUAACUGGGGAACUGCGUCUGAUACUGGUUAGCUUGAGUGCAGGAGAGGAACGCGGAAUUCCAGGUGUAGCGGUGAAAUGCGCAGAUAUCAGGAGGAACACCGGUGGCGAAGGCGGGUCUCUGGGCCGUAACUGACGCUGAGGAGCGAAAGCGUGGGGAGCGAACAGG